rnacentral:rRNA from 1 species
GACGAACGCUGGCGGCGUGCUUAACACAUGCAAGUCGAACGAUGAAGAAAAGCAUUGAAGCUUCGGCAGAAAUUCAUUUCGGUUUAGUGGCGGACGGGUGAGUAACGCGUGAGCAACCUACCUCUUACAAAGGGAUAGCCUCGGGAAACCGGGAUUAAUACCAUAUAACAUUGCGACGAAGCAUUUCGAUGCAAUCAAAGCUACGGCGGUAAGAGCUGGGCUCGCGUCCCAUUAACCAGAUGGUGAGGUAACGGCUCACCAUAGUAACGAUGGGUAACCGGGCUGGGAGGGUGACCGGUCACACUGGAACUGAGACACGGUCCAGACUCCUACGGGAGGCAGCAGUGGGGAAUAUUGCACAAUGGAGGGAAAUCUGAUGCAGCGACGCCGCGUGAGAGAUGAAGGAAUUCGUUUCGUAAAACUCUGUUCUAUGGGAAGAAAAGGACGGUACCAUAGGAGAAAGCUCCGGCUAAAUACGUG